GGGCCCAUAGCUCAGUUGGUCAGAGCAGCGGACUCAUAAUCCGUUGGUCGCAGGUUCUUGUCCUGCUGGGCCCA
rnacentral:tRNA from 1 species